GCUCGUGUAGCUCAGUUGGGAGAGCGCAAGACUAAAGAUCUUGAGGUCCCUGGUUCGAUCUCGGGUGCGAGCA